UAUAUAUAUGUAAGUACGCAUCUAUUUUUAAAAAAGUAAUUGAAGAACAAACGAGAACGAGACUUGAGAGGAACAAGUUCAAGCUGGAAUGUUAAGCAUGAACUAUAUAAACAACUUUUGUAUAAAGAUUAUAAAUCACCUGGUGGCUUUAGUCUACCUUUCUUGGGACUAGCAAACGGUUCUCUACUGACGUGAUUACAAAAGUAUGAAAUAUGUGGAAUGCUUUAUCAUGAAAACACACAGGAAUAUAUCCCAAAUUAUGGAAAUACACUACAGUGUGUGUCACAACCAAGAAAGUGUUCCUAUGAUCCUGUUUGCUAUUGUCCAAACACACUUGCUUCCAUCAUUUCAAAACUAAUGGUGCAGUCAUUAACAACCUACGGUACUGUAUCAGGUAUGUGAAAUCCCUGCCAGGACUACCUGCCAGAAUGCCACCUCACAAACUGGAACUCAAGAAUCUGAAUCUACGGAGAGAGCUAUUGAACGGCACACGUUUGUUGGUAACGUCCCUGCAUGAUUUUUACAUUCAUGGAAAGUUACGAAGUGGAAGCAAGAAGGAAAGGCGGUGUUUAUCCCUAGGAGGAACCUUUCACCAAGUGAUACAAAUCUGCCUUUUGUAAUGAACAGAAGACAAUUUCCUGUAAUACCUACAUUUGCCAUGACCAUCAACAAAUCACCAGGACAAUCAUUAAACCAAUUAUUUGACUGUGGCUAUGCUGGAGCACCGCCUUUAGUCGAGCAAAUCGACCCCAGGACUUAUUCUUUGUAAGCCUAGUACUUAUUCUAUCAGUCUCUUUUGCCGAACCGCUAAGUUACGGGGACGUAAACACAACAGCAUCAGUUGUCAAGCGAUGUUAGGGGGAUAAACACAGACACACAUACAUACACAUAUAUAUAUACAUAUAUACGACGGGCUUCUUUCAGUUUCUGUCUUCCAAAUCCACUCACAAGGCUUUGGUCGGCCCGAGGCUAUAGUUGAAGAUACUUGCCCAAGGUGCCACGUAGUGGGACUGAACCCGGAACCAUGUGGUUCGUAAGCAAGCUACUUAUCACACAGCCACUCCUACGCCUGAACAUAUAUAUACAAACUUCGACGGAGUAACAGUUAUAUAUACAACUUCAACAGACACACAUACCAGUACAUAAACAUACAUUUAACAGUCAUAUAUACAACUUGAACAGACACACAUAUCAAUACAUAAAUAUACAUUUACUUGUACAUACACAUAUACACACAGACACGUCUAUACACUUAUAAAUACAAAUGCUUACAUACAUACAUACAUACAUGAUAACAGGUUCAAUGUGAAAGAAGAAGGAAAAAAUAAACAACUACGACGAUUUGAAGUGAGAAAUACGAAGGUUGUAGUCAAUGAAGAGAGUAGACGUGGUACCAAUAGUAAUUGGUUUACUUGGAAGUAUCAGCGCUCAACUACCAGCAUGGCUGAAAAAGAUUGGUGCAAGGGUGAAGGUAGAACACCUACAAAAAUCAGCAUUGCUUGGAACUGCAAGAAUUCUUCGCAGGGUUCUUGAAGCGUGACCAGUAAGCAAGUGUCACCUUAGUCUUCUGACUGUGGACAUCUGACACUCUCCACCAUGCCCUACAAAAUAAGCUGUGUGUUUUCGUGUAAUAAUAAUAAU